AUGGUGGUUCUCUGGAGGUUGAGUGUAAUCUGUGGCACCCAAGGAAGCUGAUCUCUGUUGCUUUGAACCCCACUGGUCAGACCUGCCAUGUCUCAGCACAUCCCUAGGGCCAACCUACCCCAGGAUGGUGUGGAGCACAGCAUGUUCACCUGCCACCCAGCCGCCAUUCUGUUUCCAAGGCUGCGUCUGUCCACUGGACUGGUGACGGGGUUGUCAGUGUUUAGCUCCUGCUUCCAGCUGCUGCUUUGAAUCCUUGCUCUGCGAUGGACUACUCCCUGGCUACAGCCCUCACUCUCCUUAGUCACUAAGACUUUGAACAAGUUGUUUCAAACUAUGUCUAUGCAGACGCAUCACGGAAAGCUGCCAAGGCAGGCCUUUUGGCACACUUGACUUUAACCUUUGCCGGGCUUUGUGAUUUCAACUAUCAUGAUGGGGGCAUCUGGAAAGCUGUUGCCAUGCUGUGGAAGCUCUGA
rnacentral:lncRNA from 1 species